CGCGGUAAUUCCAGCUCCAAUAGCGUAUAUUAAAGUUGUUGCCGUUAAAAAGCUCGUAGUUGAACCUUGGACCUGGCUGAUCUGUCCUCCUAAUCGAGCGUACGGAUUCGGUCGGGUCUUUCCUUCUGGGGAGCCCUAUGUCCUUUACUGGUCGUAGCGGGGAACCAGGACUUUUACCUUGAAAAAAUUAGAGUGUUCAAAGCAGGCCUUUGCUCGAAUACAUUAGCAUGGAAUAAUAGAAUAGGACAUCGGUUCUAUUUUGUUGGUUUCUAGGACCGCCGUAAUGAUUAAUAGGGACAGUCGGGGGCAUCAGUAUUCAAUUGUCAGAGGUGAAAUUCUUGGAUUUAUUGAAGACGAACUACUGCGAAAGCAUUCGCCAAGGAUGUUU
rnacentral:rRNA from 1 species